UAAUACGAAGGGGGCUAGCGUUGCUCGGAUUUACUGGGCGUAAAGGGCGCGUAGGCGGACAGUUUAGUCAGAGGUGAAAGCCCGGGGCUCAACCUCGGAAUUGCCUUUGAUACUGGCUGUCUUGAGUACGGGAGAGGUGUGUGGAACUCCGAGUGUAGAGGUGAAAUUCGUAGAUAUUCGGAAGAACACCAGUGGCGAAGGCGACACACUGGCCCGUUACUGACGCUGAGGCGCGAAAGCGUGGGGAGCAAACAGGAUUAGAUACCCUGGUAGUCCACGCCGUAAACGAUGAUUGCUAGUUGUCGGCACGCAUGCGUGUCGGUGACGCAGCUAACGCAUUAAGCAAUCCGCCUGGGGAGUACGGUCGCAAGAUUA
rnacentral:rRNA from 1 species